AACGUAGGAGACAAACGUUAUCCGGAGUUACUGGGCGUAAAGGGCGUGUAGGUGGUUUCGUAAGUCUGGCGUGAAAUUUCUCGGCUUAACCGGGCGAGGUCGGCGGAAACUGUCCGACUAGAGGACGGUAGAGGGGGGUGGAAUUCCCGGUGUAGUGGUGAAAUGCGUAGAGAUCGGGAGGAACACCUGUGGCGAAGGCGGCCCCCUGGGCCGGCCCUGACACUGAGACGCGAAGGCGUGGGGAGCGAACGGG
rnacentral:rRNA from 1 species